UGCCAGCCGCCGCGGUAAUACAGAGGGUGCAAGCGUUAAUCGGAAUUACUGGGCGUAAAGGGUGCGUAGGUGGUAUGUUAAGUCAGAUGUGAAAGCCCCGGGCUCAACCUGGGAACUGCACCUGAUACUGCCAGUCUUGAGUACAGUAGAGGGCAGUGGAAUUUCCUGUGUAGCGGUGAAAUGCGUAGAUAUAGGAAGGAACACCAGUGGCGAAGGCGACUGCCUGGACCGAUACUGACGCUGAGACGCGAAAGCGUGGGGAGCAAACAGGAUUAGAUA
rnacentral:rRNA from 1 species